GCUGGCGGCGCGGGAGGACGUGGGGAACCCGCGGGCUGGGACCGACUGGGCCGUCUUUGGCUAUGAGAAGCACCACGACCUCAAGCUCCUGGAUUCCGGAGCCGGGGGGCCGGAUGAGCUCGCUGGAAAAUUCUCUGUGGGCAGCGUCAUGUACGGGCUGUGCCGGGUCCCCGAUCCCGGUUCUGGCACCCCCAGGAUUGUCCUUAUCAGCUGGGUGGGGGAAAAAGUGCCAGAAUCGCAGCGGGCGGCGUGUGCCGGGCACCUGCCGGCCAUCCGGAGCUUCUUCAGGG